rnacentral:rRNA from 1 species
UACAGAGGGUGCAAGCGUUGUUCGGAAUUACUGGGCGUAAAGCGCGUGUAGGCGGCGGCAUAAGUCGAAUGUGAAAUCCCUCAGCUUAACUGAGGAAGUGCAUCCGAUACUGUGUCGCUUGAGUGCCGGAGGGGAUGGUGGAAUUCCCGGUGUAGAGGUGAAAUUCGUAGAUAUCGGGAGGAACACCUGUGGCGAAGGCGACCAUCUGGACGGUGACUGACGCUGAGACGCGAAAGCGUGGGUAGCAAACAGG